rnacentral:rRNA from 1 species
AGGCUAAAUACUCGUGAUCGACCGAUAGUGAACCAGUACCGUGAGGGAAAGGCGAAAAGAACCCCGGGAGGGGAGUGAAACAGAUCCUGAAACCGCAUGCAUACAAACAGUCGGAGCCUCUGCGAAGGGGUGACGGCCUACCUUUUGUAUAAUGGGUCAGCGACUUACAUUCAGUGGCAAGCUUAACCGAUUAGGGCAGGCGUAGCGAAAGCGAGUCCGAACAGGGCGAUUCAGUCGCUGGGUGUAGACCCGAAACCAGGUGAUCUAUCCAUGGCCAGGAUGAAGGUGCGGUAACACGUACUGGAGGUCCGAACCCACUAACGUUGAAAAGUUAGGGGAUGAGCUGUGGAUAGGGGUGAAAGGCUAAACAAACCUGGAAAUAGCUGGUUCUCUCCGAAAACUAUUUAGGUAGUGCCUCGUGUAUCACAUUCGGGGGUAGAGCACUGUCAUGGUUGUGGGGUCCAUUGCGGAUUACUACGCCAUAGCAAACUCCGAAUACCGAAGAGUGCAAUCACGGGAGACAGACAUCGGGUGCUAACGUCCGGUGUCAAGAGGGAAACAACCCAGACC